GGAACCAUCAAACAUCUCCAGAACUCCUCAAACAUCUCCAGAACAUCUCGAGAAGCCCUCAAACCCUUCCAGAACAUCUCAAGAACUUCCCAGGAACCUCCAAACACCUCAAGGAACACCUCAAACCCCUGGAGAACCUUCCAGGACCACCUAAAACACCUUGAGGAACCCACAAACACCUCCAGAACCCCUCAAACAUCUCCAGAACCCCUCGAGGAACCCCAAAACCCCUGGAGAAACUUCCAGAACCCCCUCAAACACCUCGAGGAAACCUCAAACACCUCCAGAACUCCUCAGACAUCUCCAGAACAUCUCAAGAACUUCCCAGGAACCUCCAAACACCUGAGGAACCUCCUCAAACCCCUCCAGAACAUCUCAAACAUCUCCAGAACACCUCGAGGAACCAUCAAACCCUUCCAGAACAUCUCAAGAACUUCCCAGGAACCCUCAAACAUCUCCAGAACACCUCAAACCCCUGGAGAACCUUCCAGAACCACCUCAAACACCUUGAGGAACCAUCAAACACCUCCGGAACAUCUCAAGAACUUCCCAGGAACCUCCAAACACCUGAGGAACCCCUCAAACAUCUCCAGAACCCNCUCAAACACCUUGAGGAACCAUCAAACACCUCCGGAACAUCUCAAGAACUUCCCAGGAACCCUCAAACAUCUCAAGGAACCCCUCAAACACCUCCAGAACCACUCAGUCAUCUCCAGAACAUCUCAAGAACUUCCCAGGAACCCUCCAACAUCUCAAGGAACCCCCAAACCCCUGGAGAACCUUCCAGAACCCCCUCAAACAUCUCCAGAACAUCUCAAGAACUUCUGCAAGAACCCCCAAACACCUCAAGAACAUCUUGAGGAACCCCAAAACCCCUGGAGAACCUUCCAGAACCACCUCAAACACCCAAACCCCAACAAUCUCAACCCCAAAGCAACACCCGGAUCCCAACACCCAAAUCCUAAAAAACCACACCUGGAUCCCAACAACCGGAACCCCAAAGGAACACCCGGAUCCCAACACCCAAAUCCCAAGAAACAACACCCGGAUCCCAACAACUGGAACCCCAAAGGAACACCCGGAUCCCAAACACCCAAAUCCCAACAACCCCAACCUGAAAGGAACACUCAGAUCCCAAAAAGAACACCCGGAUCCCAACAGCCUCAACCCCAAUGGAACACCCAGAUCCCAACACCCAAAUCCCAUAAAAUCACACCCCAAUCCCAAAAGGAACACCUGGACCCCAAAGGAACACCCAAACCCCAACAACCUCACCCCAAAAGAACACCCGGAUCCCAAAGGAACACUCAGAUCCCAACAACCUCAACCCCAAUGGAACACCCAAAUCCCAACACCCAAAUCCCAACAAACAACACCCGGAUUCCAACAACCGGAACCCCAAAGGAACACCCGGAUCCCAAAGGAACACCUGGAUCCCAAAAGGAACACCCGGAUCCCAACAGCCUCAACUCCAAUGGAACACCCGGAUCCCAACAGCCUCAAACCCAAAGGAACACCCGAAUCCCAACACCCAAAUCCCAUAAACCACACCCCAAUCCCAAAACAACACCUGGACCCCAAAAGAACACCCGGAUCCCAACAACCUCAACCCCAAUGGAACACCCGUAUCCCAAAAACAACACUCGGACCCCAAACACCCAAAUCUUGACAAACAACACUCGGAUCCCAAAAGGAACACCCAAAUCCCAACACCCAAACCCCAACAACCCAAGCCCAAAAGAACAAUCGGAUCCCAAGGGAACACCCGGAUCCCAACAACCAAAUCCAGAUCCCAAAAAGAACACCCAGAUCCCAACAAGCUCAACCCCAAAGCAACACCCAAAUCCCAAAACCCAAAUCCCAAAGGAACACCCGGAUCCCAACACCCAAAUCCCAUAA
rnacentral:lncRNA from 1 species